UACGGAGGGUGCAAGCGUUAUCCGGAUUCACUGGGUUUAAAGGGUGCGUAGGAGGGCAGGUAAGUCAGUGGUGAAAUCCCCGAGCUUAACUUGGGAACUGCCAUUGAUACUAUCUGUCUUGAAUAUCGUGGAGGUAAGCGGAAUAUGUCAUGUAGCGGUGAAAUGCUUAGAUAUGACAUAGAACACCAAUUGCGAAGGCAGCUUACUACCCGAAUAUUGACACUGAGGCACGAAAGCGUGGGGAUCAAACAGG
rnacentral:rRNA from 1 species